rnacentral:rRNA from 1 species
GGACUACUAGGGUUUCUAAUCCUGUUUGCUACCCACGCUUUCGUGUCUCAGCGUCAGAUAUGGUCCAGAAAGCUGUCUACACCACGGGUGUUCCUCCUGAUAUCUACGCAUUUCACCGCUACACCAGGAAUUCCGCUUUCCUCUCCCAUCCUCGAGCAUCCCAGUUUCCGCCGCACCCUCCCAGUUAAGCCGGGAGAUUUCACGACAGACUUGGAACACCGCCUACACACUCUUUACGCCCAGUAAUUCCGAACAACGCUUGCUGCCUACGUAUUACCGCGGCUGCUGGCAC